UAUCAUUUACUAGACCUUGAGCAAUUACUUGGAUACCUGAGGUAAUUCUUGAGCUAAUACAUGCACCGAAGUUGUUCCUUGCGGAGCAAUGCAUUUAUUUGAGCAAAACCAGGCGGCUUCGGCCGUU
rnacentral:rRNA from 1 species